CCAGUCGAGGAGGGGGAGUGAUAGAACAACUUUGGUGGGCACCUGGCAUCCAGCCAGCGUCAUUCCACAAAAUAAGGGCCAAGGAUUUGGUGUGUAGGGUCACUGAGGAUUCUUUAAGCCAGUGGUCUAUAUCCGGAAUGUGACAUUGAAGACUUGGAACAGAUGUGUGCCUGAUGUGCUUGGAAUCCAGACAGCAGGAAAGCAGGCCUGUAGCCUUCUGAUGCUUAUCCUUUUGAAUAG